rnacentral:rRNA from 1 species
UACGGAAGGGGGCUAGCGUUGCUCGGAAUCACUGGGCGUAAAGGGCGCGUAGGCGGCGUCUUAAGUCGGGGGUGAAAGCCUGUGGCUCAACCACAGGAAUGGCCUUCGAUACUGGGAUGCUUGAGUAUGGGAGAGGUGAGUGGAACUGCGAGUGUAGAGGUGAAAUUCGUAGAUAUUCGCAAAGAACACCAGUGGCUGAAGGGCGGACUCACUGGCCCAUUACGU